rnacentral:lncRNA from 1 species
GAUUGGAUCAUUAGGAUAUGAUUUGAAAAAUUUUCUAUAUUUUUCUAGCAUAAUAUUUUUUUUUUACUUAAAACACAGUAGAACAUGGAUCAAAAUAUCCAAGGAUUGCUUGAAUUCGAUGCCUCGUGAGGUCUGAAAGCACAGGCCCUCUACUUCGCAUGCACGCCAGGCUCAAUAGAGAAGAGGAAUAAUCUUCUUUUCGCCAAACCUUCAGAAGGU